AACCUGCUGACUCAUGCGUUCUAACCAGGUGUGCUGGUAUUUUUGGCACGCUGUGUGUGAAGUACGAUAUAUUGGAGCAUAUUACAUCUAUUACUGGUGAGAUAUGUAUUAUGUUAGUUUAAAUAUUGGAAGUCUGAAACCUGCCACAGCAAUAAAUUCAAGUUUUUUGCAGAGGAUUUAGUGCAGUUACGUGAUUUUGCAUUUUAAAUACAUGCAUCAUCUCCAGUUUUCUUCUCUUAUAACAGAAUAAUAGUGAGUUCCGUUACAGAAUGAGCUGCAAAGCGAUAAUAAUGAAACCUGAGCUGGCAUCUUAUGAAAAACAAGCAGAAAAACAAAACAUCUGAUUUCUCCAAACUAAAGUCCAGAACUUUCGCUGCGUCAGUCUGUGGAUAUUUACACCACCAUUCAAAAGUUUAGGGUCACUUAGAAAUGUCCUUAUUUUUGAAAGAAAAGCAGUUUUUUUUCAAUGAAGAUAACAUUAAAUGAAUGAUAAAUCCAGUCUAGACAUUGUUAAUGUGGUAAAUGACUAUUCUAGCUGGAAACAGCUGAUUUUUAAUGGAAUAUCUCCAUAGGGGUACAGAGGAACAUUUCCAGCAACCAUCACUCCUGUGUUCUAAUGCUACAUUGUGUUUUUGCUGUAAGUCGGAACUCACAUACUGUGAUGUAUGUGGCAUACAACCGGUGAAUGUAAACAAAGCUGUCUUCCUCGUAUAGCGCCGUGUGACGACAUAUUCAUGCGCUCCGCUUGCCUACUAGUUCCUAUGUGAAAUUAGUUUUAACGUCACAAAUGCUGUAAGUAAGACUUUCUUAAUAAAUUUAUGGGAGAUGGUGACAUAACCACGAAACACCGUAGCUCAAGGACGUCGUAAACCGAGGAACUGCUGUAUACCCGACGGUCGAAGGGGAUCCUCAGAACUGAUGCUGGCAUUGCUAGCAUGAACUGCUGCUCUGUCUGUGUCAUUUCUACAGAUACUUGGGGGUCUCGACUUUCAUCGGAAUUCUGUUCCUACGGCGCGACAUAACGUGAUUUUCGCAGUGGGAACUGAGUGCAGCAGCUGUGUGUUCCGGGGGGAAGCUUCCUGCGGUGGGACCGUGGUUCUACAGCUCCGGUCUCUGGGCUGCUGCUGCCUCCAGGUGCGGCUGGACGGCGUCCCGGUAAAACAUCGCCAGCCUGGACAGCGUCUGGUCCCAGAUCCCCUCGUCAAAGUGGACCGGGACCACGGCGGUCUCCUUCAGGGUGAAGACCACCAGGUCGGCCUCCUGCAGCCCCGACACCCACAGCUGGACCUGGAUCUGGGUGAAGUAGCUGUGGGUGGACUUGAGACGGUAGCGUGGAGGCUGGAGGACAAGGAGACGUUAGAUAUUUCUAGUUUUCUGUGUUUUUAUUGACAGAUUAUUGAUGAUUAAAUAUUCCAGGUCUGAUCAGCUCUGAACCACAAACACAAACCAGGAAGUUAGCUUCUCUCAUAGUGGCUAAUGCUAUGCUAACAGCUAGCGGCUAAGUUAGGAGGCAGAUUAACCUGAAACAGUCUUUUUUUUAUUGCAUCUUUGGGGUUUGUUCUCAAACUUUAGGCCUAGAGUUUUUGGUUUCAUCCUCAAAUUUUUGAGGAAAAAAGCAGAAUAUUAUGAAGUUUUUCUUUUUUUAAAGUCACAAUAUACACUUACAUCCUUCUUUAAAAAAUUCUGAUAUUUGUUCUUUUAAAUUUGAUGUUUUCUCACAAUUUUUUAAUGUUAUCUGGAAAAUUUUACUUGUUUCUUAAUUUUUUGUCGUUUCAUGCCAUAUUUUAAACUGAUUUUUAAAAUUUCUUUUGUUUUUCCUUUAAACUUUUAUUGGUCGGUCAUUAGCACUAAUAAUCGGUAUUGGCCCUAAAUUAACAGCCCAUCUGUGGACUAUGAUGGUUCCGGUUUUUCAGUUUUUUUACCCCUCCAGGCCUCUGUCCGUCCUCGUCCAGGACCUCCAGACAGAAGGCCGGGUCGUCCCUGCAGGCGUCCUCCACUCGUCUGUCCCGGUGCUUGUAGGGACACUUCACCUCCAGGCAGAGCAGCCGUUGGCCGGUCCAGCUGUCAAUCACGAUGCCGUCAGGGCUGGCGGCCAACCAGGGCCUCUGGGCGUCGAUGAAGAGACCGCAGUCCUGGACGGAGACGGGACGACCCAACGCACGACUCUUCAGCUCCUACAGGACGACAUCACCAUGACGUCAUCAGUUACAUCAUCAACUUCAGAAAAAAUCUUUGUUCAUAAAACUACAGAAAAGUGAAACUAGUUUCCACUUUAAAUGACCUUUAUGUUCUGCUGCAGUCUGACUUCUUUAUCUCCAAACCACUGACUAAUAAUAAUAACUAGAACUGAUAGUUUUUACUCAUAUCUAGUAAUAAAUAAAUAACUUUCUCAUUCAAA